rnacentral:rRNA from 1 species
UACGGAGGGGGCUAGCGUUGUUCGGAAUUACUGGGCGUAAAGCGCACGUAGGCGGCUUUAUAAGUUAGAGGUGAAAGCCCGGGGCUCAACCCCGGAAUUGCCUUUAAGACUGCAUCGCUAGAAUUGUGGAGAGGUAAGUGGAAUUCCGAGUGUAGAGGUGAAAUUCGUAGAUAUUCGGAAGAACACCAGUGGCGAAGGCGACUUACUGGACACAUAUUGACGCUGAGGUGCGAAAGCGUGGGGAGCAAACAGG